ensembl:lncRNA
UGAAAAGCUUUUUUGAUCAUAAUGACAUAGCAUGUUUACGUUUUUUGUAAUGUAUUUGAAAACAUAGGUGUAUUUAUGUUAUUUUUAUAGAAUUUCCCUCACAUUUAUCCAAUACCAAGCCAAAUCACUGGAAAAAUUUUGGAUGGGUCCACAAGAGCACAAAGGGCAUACUUUUUGAAGAAAAACAUCUUUCAGAUGUAUGAGAAAUUGAUUGGAGCCUGUCUGGAAAACGGCAGCCACUGGACCUUGUUUUUUUGUGAUAUACCCAAGAGGACCAUAGUCUAUAUGAAUUCAUUUGGCGAGUCGGAGGUCAGAAAAAGUGCGGUGUUGAAAAACUGGAGGUAAUUAAUUAACAUAUUUAACAUAACAUAUUUAAUUUAAUUGAAAUCAUUACCGAACGUGGUUAUUGAUUUCUCUAUAUGCUUUUUAUUUGUAAUAACUGCGAUCUCUCAACUCAUUUGCUUCAGCAAGAGGCUGCGCUGGAGAGUGGACCUUGUCACAUGUGAGCCACCCACAUCAACAGGAUGGGAACUCAUGUGGAGUGCAUGUCAUAAUGUUUGCCCAAUCUCUCAUUGACGGUAAAACACAAGUGGAGGAGUACAACACUGAAGUCACAAAGCUCAGGUCCCGACUUUGCCACUACUUAUUUUCCUCAAUAGAUCGAACUAGGAAGUGCAGUCAGUGCUGGUGUGUGAUUGCAGCCAAAGACCGGGUGCAGUGCCAGAAAUGUGGUGCAUACAAGCACAUGCGUUGUUCAAAGUCUGGUUGUGGCAUCUGUAUCUUCUGUGAGAGUAAGUCACAAUAUAACUAAACAAUGUCCAAAAAUGUUUAAAGUGAAAUUUUUUUUCGUAAUUUUGCCUUUGCACACCAGGACUGUGUUAUUAAAGUGGAUGUUUCAAGAUCCAGUUUUUACACAAAACUAUUUUAGACAUAACUGUGUCGUAUUGUGGGGAUUUCUCUUCACAAUUAAAUUGAUAUAGUGCUGUUUAUAUCAUUCUUCUUUAUGUAACAGCACAGUGCAGCACAGCAGAGGGAAAGGAGUUGUGCAGCAUAGUGGGUGGCUAUACAGGAGGAGCAAUAGAAGUAGCCAGUGAAGAAUGUCAUCAGGGAAAGCAUCAGGCAGCGAAUGACAAAGGAAAAGUUCCUAAGGGAGAGAACAUCUGCAGCAAAUCGACAAGUAACAGUGAGAUAGGAAGACUGACAGUCAGAGAUGAAGGUACACAGACUGAAGACAACGCAAAAGAAGCAGAAGUAUACAGCACAAGUCUGAGUACAGAUAAUGCUGCUGCUGAUGAUGUUGACAGGAUCGAUGCAGAUACAGAAUUCCAAACUGAUUCAGAAGGAACUAGUACAGUUUACAGAGUGCAUGGUCGCUUAUCUGUACCAAAAAAGAAAACCUACACAAUAACAGAAGACGAGCUCAAGCGCAGAAUCAACGCAGAGAACAUGUCAGUUCAUGUUUUCAGAGGUUUGAUUGGGGGCCGUAAAGCCAAACUGCCCGCAAUGAUUCUUGACAGGCCUAAGAAGGCCAAAACUAAAGUAACAGUGUUUAGUGUUCUGAGUGAAGAGGAGGCUGGGGAGCUAGCCCUCGGGUUUGCCGGAAGAUUGGCCUGCGAUGUCACAACAGACAUGGUCUGUAAAGGCAUCGACCAUUCAAGUGCUGAUAUGACAAAACAGACUCUUCUCAAAAUCCAACACAACCUUAAACAGGAACUGACUGAUUCCUCAACCUUCAGUUUGCUGACACACACCUUUGGCCCCGCUGCACUGGAUUCUGUCAUUUCAUUCCUGUGUGAAAAACUUGAUCUUGUCUCUUAAAUAAUGAAACCUUUUGUGACUUUUGUUUGUUCUGUAAAUCAGAAUCUUGAAAAUUGUUCAUUGUUGUUCUAAGUUUGUGUUAACUAUUUGGCAAAAAUGAUUGGUUCCUAAUCCAAACAGCAUAAUGACUGUUCUAACACACAUCUUAAAAAUGCUACAAAGAAAGAAAAUUAUCACAUAUGUUUCAAUAUGAAUGUAAUUGUGUCACACUCGGA